rfam:Exidia glandulosa HHB12029 unplaced genomic scaffold EXIGLscaffold_125, whole genome shotgun sequence.
GUCUGGUUAGCGCAGUCGGUAGCGCGUAGGUCUCAUAUCAAUAUGAGGAGAUUACGUAAUCUCUGUAAUCCUAAGGUCGCGAGUUCAAGUCUCGCACUGGACA